CCUACGGGGGGCUGCAGUGGGGAAUUUUGGACAAUGGGCGAAAGCCUGAUCCAGCGACGCCGCGUGCGGGAAGACGUCCUUCGGGAUGUAAACCGCUGUCGGAUGGGACGAACACAAUGACGGUACCAUCGGAGGAAGCACCGGCUAACUCUGUGCCAGCAGCCGCGGUAAGACAGAGGGUGCAAGCGUUGUCCGGAUUGACUGGGUGUAAAGGGCGUGUAGGCGGCCGAGUAAGUCUGACGUGAAAACAUCACCGCUCAACGGGAUGUACGCGUUGGAAACUGUUCGGCUUGAGUACAGGAGAGGUUAACGGAAUUCCAGGUGUAGCGGUGGAAUGUGUAGAUAUCUGGAGGAACACCGGUGGCGAAAGCGGUUAACUGGCCUGUGACUGACGCUGAGGCGCGAAAGCCAGGGGAGCAAACGGGAUUAGAUACCCCAGUAGUC
rnacentral:rRNA from 1 species